AGCGAACGCUGGCGGCAGGCCUAAUACAUGCAAGUCGAGCGCACCUUCGGGUGAGCGGCGGACGGGUGAGUAACGCGUGGGAAUGUGCCCUUUGGUACGGAACAACUGAGGGAAACUUCAGCUAAUACCGUAUGUGCCCUUCGGGGGAAAGAUUUAUCGCCAUUGGAGCAGCCCGCGUUGGAUUAGGUAGUUGGUGAGGUAAAGGCUCACCAAGCCUACGAUCCAUAGCUGGCUGAGAGGAUGAUCAGCCACACUGGGACUGAGACACGGCCCAGACUCCUACGGGAGGCAGCAGGUAGGGAAUCUUGCGCAAUGGGCGAAAGCCUGACGCAGCCAUGCCG
rnacentral:rRNA from 1 species